rnacentral:rRNA from 1 species
CCUACAUGAAGUCGGAAUCGCUAGUAAUCGCGGAUCAGCAUGCCGCGGUGAAUACGUUCCCGGGCCUUGUACACACCGCCCGUCACACCAUGAGAGUUUGUAACACCCAAAGCCGGUGGGGUAACCUUUUGGAGCCAGCCGUCUAAGGUGGGACAGAUGAUUGGGGUGAAGUCGUAACAAGGUACC